rnacentral:lncRNA from 1 species
CGCGACCCAGCCAUUGAUUCCGACAGAGGGAGCGAGCGCGGCGGAGCUGGCAAGACGGGGCGGGGGGGGAGGCCCGGCAGCCUCCGGGAGGGCGCGCGUCCGGAGCGGCUGCGAGAUCCGGGCCUUCUCCUCAGCGUGGGUAGUGAUUUUCUGAACUUGUCAGUACUGAAAGGAAGACUGUCAAAGACAAGCGAGAAACGGCAGAGCCUUACUAAUUCCCUUUGGGAAGAAGACUGUGGGCUGCAGCGGCUGCCUGCCAACUCCCAGAAAGUCACUGCAGACACUUCCACAGAAUCUACUGGAUCUCACCCUCGAGCUCCCAGACUCCUCGCUCUCCAGCUCAGACAGCAGGUACUCGAACUACUUUGGAGACAGCUUCUUUCAGUGGUGCCUGACACAUUUCUUACUUUCUUGUAACUUCAAAAGCCAGGGCUGAUUGCUUAACAUCAGUAGAACAGACAUCAGCAUAAAUACAGCCACAGAGCGCCACUCUGCCAGCUGGACAUCUCACUGCUGUGCCUUCUGGAACCCUAGCAUGUUAGCAGAGCUGGUGGGGUGACCGCAGGAAGACCCCGUGAAUUCUGAAAGUGAAUGUUGCCAGAGUAGUAGCUGUUUCAGUGGAAUAAAAAGAAAGGAAAUCCCAAAGAAAAAGGAUUGAAGGGAAACAGCAACACAAAAGCCUGUAAGUUUGUAUCUACGAACCGUAUGAAUUGCUUAUUACCCGUUUCCUAAGAGCCUGGAUGAAAACGUGAGUCUAUUUCUGUGCAUACUGUCUUCUAAAAUAAUGCCGGAGUAAUUAAAAAUAACUAUUAUUUUCUGUGAUCACAUGUUGCAAGUAGUCUCAGUACACUUCCGUAGCAGUGUUUCUGGUUGAGCCAGUCCUGAAGGAGUUUGCAGACAUCUGCUGUAGCAUAGGGACAUAAAUGAUCCAACAGGAUGUAGCCCGUAUGUGAACCUCAGUCUGGUUACAGGAAAUUACCAACUCAAAAGCUGUUGUUGUAAAUAAGUGUCCCUGCCUGCAGUGAGGUUAAACACAAAAUUCACAACAAACCAAAUUAAUAAUUACAAAGCCAGACUAACAGUUAUUUAGAGUUAAAAAGAAGAGCAGGGGUUGGAGCUAAAACUAGCUCAGUAAUUGUGAUCAUAAACCCGUUUCUAAGAUGGAAAAGUCCGGCCAGAAGGCCUGAAGGAGCGGGAGCCCAGCAGCGCCCUGGAGAAGCUGAAGCCAGAUUGCCGGCGUCGCCGGGGAGGUCCUCGGUCACCUUACUCAGGCAGUUACUAAUGAGUCCGGGUGGCCCGGCAGCUGGGCUCCCCGCAGCCCUCAGGAGGCUCUCUGGACCCCGGGGUGAGCGUGCUUUACCAAGGGACAGCUGUGGGGAGGACCGGAAGACCUGGACUCGGAGGAGGCAUCAGUGCUUUGACAAUGGAGGACUAACAGCGACCUUCGCUGUGUUCAUGGGCUGUAGUUUUGAAAAUUUCUGCAGUAAACAAAUUACUUUGGGUUACAAAACAAAAAAAACCAAAUUACUUUGGGUUAAUCUUUCAAAGAGCUUCAUUUAGCUUGUCAAGUCCCUACAACAACCACCUUGCAACCCUGGGGGAGUUAAGACGAUCGCUAGGUGAGGAGAUGAAAGGUUUAUGAAGAAGUCUGCUGCUACUUGAGUUGCUAAGAUUAAGUGACAGCAGCAGUCAUCUUCCGAGGCACAAACCAACCCUCUCUGGAGGGAAGAAAUUGCUCCUGUCUGCUUCAGGGCCCCAGCAGUACCGCCGUGCAGCAGUUGGGUUGGAAGCUUUUCUGGAGCAUUCCUGAGGAAGAGUUAAAUGCUUUCAGAUCGUCCACCCAAAACAAGACAGCAGAGGUUACGGCCUGCCUCAGGUUCUGCAAAGCAGAGAAAAGAACGGGGAGUGGGCUGCAGGGCUGGAGGCAGAGUUAGUUGCUUUAACAUUUUAAAUUGCGAAAUAUAGUGUAUGUAUAGAAAUGUGAAUAAAACAUAACUGAAUUAUUUGAACGCAAUCCAUGAGUAGCCUCUAUUCAAGAACAAGGACGUCACCACUCCCAGAACAUCUUCCCAGUCAACCCCCUCCUUCCCUGCAGAGCGCGUGCUUUGUUUUAGCCCCGUCUGGGUGUCCGUGUUCCUUGUGAAUGGAGCCGACCCGGAGCGCUGUCACCUCUGCCUGGGGGACCUUGCUGAAGGUGGCGGCAGUUCUUCAGCUUCGCUGCUGUGUGGUGUCCCAGCUCAGCACAGUCUGUGGUCAUCACUGCCCAUUUCUCCCGAGGUGGCUCAGCGGUUGUGUCCAGCACGCCACAAACGGCGCGGCUGUGGAUCCUUCCCUGAUGCCCGGCCGCCCUGUGGAGCGGACACUGCCUUCCUUCCCAGGUUCCAGCAGCCCAGCCUCCCGCAGGGAGAGAGCUGCUCUGCACCGGAGCUCGAUGGAGCCUAUCCACUUGCCAGGGCUUUCCCGGGCAUCUCCC